UACGUAGGUGGCAAGCGUUGUCCGGAUUUACUGGGCGUAAAGGAUGCGUAGGCGGAUGUUUAAGUGAGAUGUGAAAUACCCGAGCUCAACUUGGGUGCUGCAUUUCAAACUGGAUAUCUAGAGUGCGGGAGAGGAAAGCGGAAUUCCUAGUGUAGCGGUGAAAUGCGUAGAGAUUAGGAAGAACACCAGUGGCGAAGGCGGCUUUCUGGACCGUAACUGACGCUGAGGCAUGAAAGCGUGGGGAGCAAACAGG
rnacentral:rRNA from 1 species